UACAGAGGGUGCGAGCGUUAAUCGGAAUUACUGGGCGUAAAGGGCGCGUAGGUGGUUAUGUAAGUUAGAUGUGAAAGCCCCUGGCUCAACCAGGGAAUUGCAUUUAAUACUGCAUGACUAGAGUAUGGUAGAGGAAAGUGGAAUUUCCGGUGUAGCGGUGAAAUGCGUAGAUACCGGAAGAACACCAGUGGCGAAGGCGA
rnacentral:rRNA from 1 species